AAUAGGAGCAAAUAUUACACUUAACCGUCACAGCUUUGGUAGUUUUCAGUACAUUUGUGGUGACUAGUAUGAAUGAAAAAUGUCUCUUUAUGCAGGAAUGUCACUUAUUUUUUCUUUUAUGUUUAAGAUGAAACUUUGACUGCAAUUUCCAUCAGUGACAACAAGCCAUCUGUCAACCAGAAAUGUUAACUAUUCAGCCCUAGAGAUCCGAGCAAGCUCUGGAUGGGAAGGAAAGAAGCUCUGAGUGAUGACACAAAGAUAUACUGUGACCAGCGGUGAGAGAUAGUGAUCGACACACAUGGUUAAGUACAAGUGAGAUCAAAUCUACAGCGGAUACGAGCCAUGAAACGUCACAUCAUCCAACGUGAGGGCCAGCCACAGUGACAAGACAGAAUGUGGUCAGACCAGAUCAGGUUGGGUGUGUGGGCCCUACCUGGAGAUUGAAACAACAAAAAAUGAGCAUCCGCCAUGUCAAUCCUUUAAUUGAGCUGUUUAUGAGGAGUUAUUUCAACACAAAACCAACCAAGUGCCUACAUACCAGGGGAGUGAGCGCGACCACAAGCUAAGUCACUCUUGCUUCACACAAUGCCACGGCUCUCCCAAUGUGGUCAACUGUCUAAAAAUGGUCAAAGCUUCCACGUUUUGCACAACAAAGCACCCUACCCAGAGAUUUUAGAUUCCCAUUAAAAAUAAUAAAACUGCAGCGUGUUUCUGGAUUUAAGAGCUGUUUUGGGUGCUUGGCUGUGCAGGC